UACGGAGGGUGCAAGCGUUAUCCGGAUUCACUGGGCUUAAAGGGCGCGUAGGCGGGCAGGUAAGUCAGUGGUGAAAUCUCCGAGCUUAACUCGGAAACUGCCAUUGAUACUAUUUGUCUUGAAUAUUGUGGAGGUAAGCGGAAUAUGUCAUGUAGCGGUGAAAUGCUUAGAUAUGACAUAGAACACCAAUUGCGAAGGCAGCUUACUGGACAAUGAUUGACGCUGAGGCACGAAAGCGUGGGGAUCAAACAGG
rnacentral:rRNA from 1 species